rnacentral:lncRNA from 1 species
GCUUCUUAUCAAGAUAGCCGAAAGUGAAGGACUUCGGGUCAUGCAAGAGUGCAUAACCAAGGAACGAAGCAGGCAGUACGCGGUGAUGUACCUUUGCUACUCAGUGGAGUAGGCGGCAGGGUUGAUGGAGAAGACGGUACAAUCCCAGAGGCGACCAAACCUAUGAGAGAAUUACUCCAAGUUGGGGUGAAAACUUCCUGCAUUCCAGAAGUUCGAUGGUAUUGAGAAGGUGAAUCACAGUAGCUAACUCAACGCAAGGAGUGCAAAUACUUCAAGUGCUUCAGAAGUGUGAGCAAAGAGCAGGCGAAGGCUAGUAACCAGCUCGAUGCAUGGAGUACAACCUCGAGGAGGUGGGUGAAGUCAAGUAACCUUUGCCUUCUCA